rnacentral:lncRNA from 1 species
AUGAUAUUAGGCCACCACUUUUGCAUAUUCUUUUUGUGUGUGGUAUAUUUCAUGAGCAUAGUCUAUUAUACUAUGUCUCUAACAUGCAUUAACACCAAAAUUCUAUUGCCCGACCUCAAAUAGUUGUGACUUCUACAUAAGUCCAAUAUUCUUUUUGUGUGUGGUAUAUUUCAUGAGCAUAGUCUAUUAUACUAUGUCUCUAACAUGCAUUAACACCAAAAUUCUAUUGCCCGACC